AUGGUGCAAGCGUUCUCCGGAUUUACUGGGUGUAAAGGGAGCGCAGGCGGUACGGCAAGUCUGCUGUGAAAGCCCGGGGCUCAACCCCGGUACUGCAUUGGAAACUGUCGGACUAGAGUGUCGGAGGGGUAAGUGGAAUUCCUAGUGUAGCGGUGAAAUGCGUAGAUAUUAGGAGGAACACCAGUGGCGAAGGCGGCUUACUGGACGAUGACUGACGCUGAGGCUCGAAAGCGUGGGGAGCAAA
rnacentral:rRNA from 1 species